rnacentral:snRNA from 1 species
GUGCUUGCUUUGGCAGCACAUAUGCUAAAAUUGGAUGGAUAUAGAGAUUAGCAUGGUCCCUGCAUGAGGAUGACAUACAAUUUGUGAAGUGUUCCAUAUUUUC